GGGAUGUUCUGGAUAUGGUGAAGAGUGCAUGAAGGUUAUAAGUGAUCAAUAAGGGAUCAGUCACUCCUAAUAAGGGGAGCAAACAUCUUAUGUGAUCUCAUAGGUCAUUGAUUCGGAAGUCUUUGGCCAAAGUAGGAUGAUAAUUAGAAAAGGAUUUCUAAUAUAUCAUCAACAAAUCAUCGCCUUCUGAUCGAGAUACAUAAUGAUAAAUGAUUGGGUUUGACAUAUUUGCAAGCCUAUAACUCAUCUGGGAUAUUGUUUCAAGCCUAUAACUCUUCCGCUGCCUGAUCUUAAAAAAGUUUCAAGAUCUAAUCCUAAAACCCUAGAUCUAGUUCCUUCAAUUGGUAUCAGAGCAAGGUUGUUUAUUACAUGAUUAUUUAUACAUGCUUAGAUUAUUUCUUAGAUUAGAUCUAAUUUAUAAUCUAAUUAUUAAAUCUAAAAUUAAAAUUUUUAGAUCAAUCACGAACUGUAGGUUGUCCUGCUGUAAGGUUUAUCCCUUACAGUGUAAAGAUUGUCCUAGUUCGUAUAGAUCUAUCUUU
rnacentral:lncRNA from 1 species